CCUAAUUCCACACCUAAGUGGUAAGCAACUAAUAAACUGUAGACGUUGGGAGUCCAGGUAUAGAAUGAAGGGUGUUGUAGCUUUGCUGAUGUUGCUGUGCAGCACCCUGACUGCGGCUAUGGUGACAACCCCAGAAAACGAAGACAAAAACUGCCCGUCUGGCAUGUGUGACAUCCUGAGGAAGAUUGAAGUCAUGGAAAACCGGCUUGCAGCUGCUGAGCGCCAGGUGGAGACGCUGAACGCUAAAGCAGAAACGAAGGUGGCAUUCUCAGCUGGAUUUGGGGUACUGGAUACUAUGGACCUUUCAAUGUUGAAAAACGCUUGUCUACCAAAAGGUCUUAACCAACCUUGGCAACGCUUACAACCCGGCAACAGGCAUCUUCACAGCACCAGUGGCAGGAGUCUAUCAGUUUAGCGUCUAUCACCAUUCAGGAUCAGGUCGCCGCUCAGACUCCUUGCUGUUCAAGAACAAAGAACAAAUGGCAUUUAUUUCUGCUAUGAACAAGGACGGCUCCUACAACGGAUCUAAUGGUAUCAUACUGCAGCUGGAGGAGGGAGAUGUGGUAUAUGUUGUUUUGAAGGAUAAUUCAUGGAUCUGGGACAAUAUGAGCAAUGCUGGUGCCAAUGGAUGGUGCCACUUCAACGGCAUUUUGCUGUAUGCUCAAUAAACCUCAGUAGAAUAUGUACAUACUGUUGCGAAAUAUUUUACCCUAAUCAAUUCCAUUAAAUGGUUUUCUGCAUAAAUCA